rnacentral:lncRNA from 1 species
AAGCACAUGAGAAAUGCAGAAAAAUGGCAAUUCUGCCAAAGACUGCCGCUGCGGCAUUUCUGCAGCAUUUGUGUAGUGGGUCAAUGUGAGAGACAACAAGCAAGUCGGAGUCCAGCGCAUCAGAAGAUCCAACAAUGUGUGUGCCAUGGGGGCACACCCAAGACGUCGCUUGAAAUAGUUGAGUCUCAUGAGUGCCCAAGUAGGUGCACCCCCAUAGAAGCCAUGUAUCAACCGUUGCUGAAUGGGAACAACUGCAACACACAACGCACAGUUUGCAGCCACUACUGAUGGCUUCACGGCUUGGCGGAACUUUGCAGGCACAUCAGCAAUAAGUGUUUCGACAUGCUUCUGCUCUUGUUGUAUGUGAUAUAGGGCUCCUCAGGCGGUCACCGUUUUCGCAGUAACUGAUGGUGUCUAUGUCUUCCUGUCUGACUUCAUAAGAAAAAUCUUGGACAUUCAUCUUGAGCAACUGCACAGUGGCAUAAAUGUUAGCGAUUCGUUUCAUGACAGCCAGCAGCUUCACCUGCUGAAAACCCUGAUUGUUUUCUGAACACGGGGAUCAAUCUGCUGCAAGAACCUUAUUCUGAUGAUGAACCCUGGGCAAAUCGUGUCUCUGGUGCUUUUAUCUUUCAUGGUCCGAGAAUGCAAGCGCGAAAGAUUGUAAGCUGUUGAAGACCACGCGAGGUGAUGACUUGGGUUAAGAUCGUCUUCUUCCACUCCCGAAACGACAGUAUUUGGUAUGAUAGAACUCGGCACCAUGAGACUGUGAGAGCGUGCCCGCCUUCAUAAGAUUUUACUGUUCCUGUCUUAUCUUAGGAAGACAGC